rnacentral:rRNA from 1 species
UACGGGGGGGGCAAGCGUUGUUCGGAAUUACUGGGCGUAAAGGGCUCGUAGGUGGCCAACUAAGUCAGACGUGAAAUCCCUCGGCUUAACCGGGGAACUGCGUCUGAUACUGGAUGGCUUGAGAUUGGGAGAGGGAUGCGGAAUUCCAGGUGUAGCGGUGGAAUGCGUAGAUAUCAGGAGGAACACCGGUGGCGAAGGCGGGUCUCUGGGCCGAUACUGACGCUGAGGAGCGAAAGCGUGGGGAGCGAACAGG